AGGUGCGAUCAUACAAGCACUAAUGAAUCAGAUCCCACCAGAACUCCACACGUUAAACGUGCUUGGACGAGUGUAGUACUAGGAUGGGUGACCUCCUGGGAAGUCCUUAUGUUGCACCCC
rfam:Populus trichocarpa isolate Nisqually-1 chromosome 17, whole genome shotgun sequence.